ACACACACACACACACACACACACAGCCUUUAUCCUGGGAGCUUGGGCGCCACCACAGCUCGGGUUACUCAAGCGUGCCUUAGCGGAAGGCAGCCAAGAAAUCUCCAAAACUCAGUGAUAAAACAGCUACUCUGGGAAGGUGAUCUCCACAGCCACUAGCCACUGGGCUCCAUCGUUAAGCGCUUCACACCGUGGUAGCUAACACACCCUCAGCUGCAAAGAAAAGACAGGUGGGAAGCCAGCCUCGGCUUUGCUGGCGCUCAGGAUGCUGAAGAUCUAAGAUGUGCCACCUAAGAGUGCAGGAAGUGCUUGCAUAAGACAAGAAGAGACCAGAAGAUCAACACUGAGACCUCUUCGUUCUUGCUUCUCGGAGGCUUCCAAUGUGGGAAUCUCCUGAUUUACAUGUACUUUAUUUGGUUCACAUGCUCCUGGAUACUUAAGGCAAGCUGUGCUAGGAAAACAUCUUUUCAAAGUUGAUUUUCCAGGUUUCAUCUCCUCCCCUCCUGCUUCUUUCCCUUCAUUUAUGCGGUCAUCUUUAAUAGCUCUUUCUACGCGCCCGUUUGUAAGUGUUUAUCAUCAUCGUUUCAAGCUACAAAAGAGAACAUAGACAAACCGCUUGUUUCUGGCUGCCAAUAAAGGACCAUAGACUUCCAUCAGGACGUGUAGCUGCAUGGUAAAGAAGUCGCUGAUAAGUCAGGUUGCAGCCCAUUGUCCUACUUUAUCUAGAUCAGUCAGACUGAUAUCUCUUCACUUACACCUCAAAUCUGAAGUGAAAUAAAUAAUGAGAGUGGAGCUAAGUGACAGGAGAGGCAAUGUGAGUUUAGGAGGGUGAACCACCUGUAUUGUGGUAAAGAAGAGAUUAACAUGACACUUCUUAUAUUCUAUAAAACGCAAGCCCCCAAAAUCCAAAUAAAAACAAGAAUUGAAGAAAUUCUAACUCAUUUUAUUGAAAGUAUUGAAAAACAAAUCAAAGGGAAGACAGUGCCUGGUAAAGUUCAAUUUUCUAGUUAUUAGCUUGAUUUUUUUCUUGAAUCUGUGCAGUUAUGUUCCUUGCAAUAUUGAGGACACACACUUUGCAGAUACCUGGUUUCUUUUCUUUUCUUUUCUUUUUUCCUUUCUUUUCUUUUCCUUUUCUUUUUCUUUGUAGGUAGAUUAUUUUGUGACCCUGUUCUGCAUCUGCUGUUGGACUUGCAAGAAUAAUUCCUGUUCCAGAGGCUAAAAUAUGGAGCUAUCCGUGGUGCUGAUUUUAUACUGCCUUAGUGAGUGUAGGAUACCCAACAAUGACAGUGGGACUGCAAACUCUGUCAAUGGCUGUUAAGACAUAUACCCCAAUCUUCGUCACCAAAUGCCUAGAAAAAUACAAAUUGCUAUUUUUGAAAGAUUUCUUAAAUACCUUCCAUUUUUACUUAGCUUUUAAACUAAAGCUGAUAAGUUUAGUUUAAACAUACCCCCCAAUCAAGGAUUCCAGAGAAUAAAGGAAUACAAAUGGUGUGGAUUGUAAGUUUUCCAUAUAAAGUUUCAUGGCCUAUAAGGUUUCAUGAUGCAGUAAUACAAAGCAGCAUGUCUAGCUAAUACAUUUUAAAUGACUUGCAAGCUCAGAAAAUGAAAACCACUCCAAGGUAGUAACCAUCCCCAUUGUAUUUUGAAAACAAUGUCUCCCUACCACAGGAUAAGAAAACUUGACAUGCAGAAGUUUGCUGUGCAGUGUUUCUGUUUAUGACUGUGAGACUGACUUUCACAGGCUAUUCAGUUUAGAAACCCUAUAACUCCACAUUCUUCAAGAGGAAACAUGGAAUUCUAUUCUCUAGAGUAUUUCCUCUUUAGCUGAAACUCUCAGAACGGUCUGUUAGGAUUGGUUAAUGAAAUACAUGAUAAAUUUCCAUAUCCUGUGUAACUUAUAAGUAAGAUUAUAGGUUUCACAUUUCCCCAGCCACAUUUAACUAAGACCAGUUCUAUUCAUGAGUCUACAUAAAAUCAUAGAACAGUCCAUAAUCUAUGUAUUGUAAUUGAUUGAUUCGAGCAGAAGAUUAAAGGUAUCCUGUUUCUAAAUUACCCUAGUAAUUGUGUUCAUGCAUUAUAUAUUGGUAUAGUGGAGACAAGUACAUUAAUCUAUACUCACCCAAUAAUAGAAUAAAGCCAGAGGGUGACACUCAAGGUUCUUGCUAGCUGGAAAGUCCUUUCUUCCUCACUCCCUUAAAAUCUAACCAGAUAUUUAUUUCUAAAAAUCAUUUUGGUUAUUUUGGAGUUGUUAAGUCCAACAACUGAAAAUGUAUAUAUACUAGCUCUUAGAAUCCUGUGAAAUAUAUAGCUUGAUAUCCAGUCACCUAAUUAUGAGUAAAGAUAUGAAAUAGACUCAUAAAACUCACUUGGUUAUUCACACUGCCAUGAACCUAAGCUAUUAAGAAUUUAAAUAUACAGAUGUUUUAACAAUGCCUGGAACAUAAUAAAAUUAAUAAAUACAAUAUAAUAAAGAAGUUUUAUAUACACUUCACAUGUGUGUGCUGGUUAUAUUAAUCAAUGAUAAAGCAUGCUUCCUUAGCAUGCAUACCAAGCUAGGUUCAAUUCCCAGCACAUUUUAAAAAACUUGAACUUAAGAAACCAGCUUUAAAAAGUUUGCAUGUAUCAAAUAUAGUUAUUCCAGUAUUCAGGGAAAGAGUAGUAGUCAUCAUGUAAUAUUUAAGUGUUAUUCUUAUCUGAGAAGAAAAAAAUGAAAACCCUAUAAGCAAAUAAAUGGUGUUACUUUAGCAUUAUAUUGUUUCUAAAAUGAUAUAGAAAGUAAUUUGGUGAUAUUUAUGUACAAUUUUGUACAAUUUAGCAAAAUGAUAUUAUAGAUCUUAUGGCCACAAUGUAUCAUUUUAAUGGCUAUAUCUUAACAUGGUCUUCUGUGAAGAUGCUGGAUAGCCUCUUACUAACUGGGUCACAUCUAACUUAAGAAACAUCUGACUCUACAGUUAUAAGUUAGACAGAUUUUAGCUUGCAUUAGCCUCUGUAGCUCUGGAAUCUUUUAAGAGGCGAGAAUGUUGAGGUCAACUAUUAGCACAAUAAUAUAGUCAUGCAGUUCAGAGUAGAAUAUUUGAUAGUGUACAAAUGAAGAUGGUUCACAGUACAAUUUUUUAUUUAAGGUAUGUUAGAAUUUCAACCAAAAUUGUGAAAAUUUUUACAUGUCAAUAUCUUGAGGUCGGAGUAAAUAAACUCUUUGAAUCAGUA
rnacentral:sRNA from 1 species